rnacentral:rRNA from 1 species
UACGUAGGGUGCGAGCGUUGUCCGGAAUUAUUGGGCGUAAAGAGCUCGUAGGCGGUCUGUCGCGUCGAAUGUGAAAACCCGGGGCUCAACUCCGGGCUUGCAUUCGAUACGGGCAGGCUAGAGUUCGGUAGGGGAGUCUGGAACUCCUGGUGUAGCGGUGAAAUGCGCAGAUAUCAGGAGGAACACCGGUGGCGAAGGCGGGACUCUGGGCAGUAACUGACGCUGAGGAGCGAAAGCGUGGGGAGCGAACAGG